CAGGGGUAUAUGAAAUUUCAAGAGGAUGCAUGUAAGGAGCCUGGCACAACACACAACAGGUAUCAACUCAACGAGCUGCUUACAACUCUGUCCUCUCCACUACAGCACGAAUCCAAGCUCCUGAGCAGGAUCCUGCAAUCUUCCCUGUGGUCCGAUCUUGUCUCCCACUGCCCCCCUUCCCAGAGCCUGCAUCCUCACAAACACUUCCUCCUCCAGGAAGCCCUGACGACACUGACAACCAGAACAGCUUUUCCCCUCCACUGACUUUCCAAAGCCCAUCUAUCACUGAUCACACCCUGCCUCUUCGCUACCACUCAAUCCUCAUCUUCCCUCUCCCAACAGAUUGGCAGCCUCUCAGUCAGAAACCAGCAGCACCUCACCUCAUCCCCACCACCUCAUCCACAGACAGUUUCCAUACAUGUUUAAUAAAUUACCCUAACAUUCCAUUUUAAGUAAAGAAUGUCCCAAGCCCUCCAAACAGUCCAGAUUUCAAGCCAUACCCAAAACCAAAUUCCAAGGCAACAGAAGUCUCUAGGGACUUGUAGGCCUGGCUUUGGUCCCAAAGUAGGGAAGAUGGAUCAAGCACGUCCCAAGCCCAGGGCAGAGACAACUCUGGGCUGCGGAGGCCAAAGCCCUAAGUUUCUCAGAUACAGAGUUUCUCAGUUGGCCCCCAGACCAACCCCCAGCCUGAUACCAUAUUUCUGACCACAUUCUCAACUUGUAAUUAUAAAACUGUUCCUUGUAUACCCUUUGUGACAGGAGGAUCACUAUCCAUCUUUUUUGCUUCUUGGCUUCCUCCCUUCACCUGUUGAUUCUCCCAGAGUCCUCUCCUCCUGCUCUGACAGGUAUGGCAAGGAGAAUCCAACCAUAUGCCAAGCGUCAUCCCCAACCCUCAGUACUCUUUUCAGCCUCCCAGCCCUCCACUCAUUCCCCUGCAUGUCUGAGACCCCUCAAAGUCCAGCUAAUAGUGGAAUUUCCAUUCUUGUUCCUACAAGCUGACAGUGAACUGUCAGCCCAGAAGGGUACCCUAUCCCCAGCAAAAGCCUACAGGCCCUGCAAAUCCCAGAUUCAGUGCUGGAACAGCCAUUAGAGCACUUAGAACAGUGACACACAAACUUUCAUGUCCCCAAAAUUUAUUUCAUUACCUACUCCUACUCCAUUGUUUAAAAAUGUCAUUUAUUAACUACCAAUUGGUUUCCAUUUUUAAGCAGAUUCCUCAAGGCGCCCAAUCAGAGCCUGAUCAGCAGUCAUGAGAUGGCACCCACACCAAAAGAUGGGCCAGCACACUAAAGCCAAUGGAAGUCUGGGCCACCCCACACAUUCACUCAUGUGGUAUUUAUGAGGGUUUAUGGUGUGCUCUAGGCUCAGAAACAUACAAAUGCACAUACAAAUGCAUUUUCAAUUAAGAUUUUGCAAUGCUGACGGCUCAAAGUCCACCCCCACUCCCCCAUUACUAUCCUCAAAGACUUGAGGCUGGGGGACCUAGAGCAGCCCAUCAGUUUAGCAAUGAGGACCCUGGCAGGAGGAUCACUAUCCAUCCUUUUUGCUUGCUGGCUUCUUCCAGCCGGACACCUGGGAUAUAAAUCCUGCGGCCUUAUGUCUCUCAUGGCCCCAGGGGCUCCCAUUCUUGGCCCUACGUCGGCACCCUGCUGAUCUGAAAGUGACCUGGUCUGAAUAGAGAUGAAAGGCUCUGCCGUCCCCUGGGUGCUGGGGAGGGGCCUGUUGACAAAGCCACCAGCUGUCCCCAGUAGGAGCCAGGGAGACGGGCUCCUCCCUGCACCACCCGCAGUGGGAGAACGUUCCUGCCACAGACCCAGCCAGCAACAGAACUUUAACCAUCAUGGAGCUCCAAGCUCAGGCUCCAAUGGACUUUCCCUCUGCUCCAGCUGCCCACAGUACAAGAGCUCAGCCUGCACCAGUACCAGGCAGAACAAGCAUCACUCGGGGGUGAGAAAACAGACUAGAAGGUAAGGAUCUGGCCCACGGUUACAGAGCUGAUAAGCGGCAGACACCCAGACCACCUUUCCACAGUCUUCCAAGUCCCUGGAGGGUUCAACUUGACCAAGAAAACAGAGAGAAAGGGUGAAAGAUAUUCAGGAUCUUCACACAGAGAAGAUAACGGCUUCUGAAAACAAAUAUAAAUCAAUUAAUUUCCCUUUUUACUGUGUUCCUGGUGAUGCACCAAUUACAAUCGAGCAAAAGAAAAACACUUACACGCAACUGUGGCCUCUAAACGACAUUACUGCUAUGGGCUCCAAGUGGCCUGGCCCUGGCCCAGCUGAGGCCAGGCAGGCAGAGUGGAAGGCUCAGCUGCAAGCAGAGCAGCAAGUGCCCUGGACAGUGAAAUGGAGAAACUGAGUCCCAGGGAGGAGCAGGGCUUACCCUAUCAGCAGUGAUGGACAUCAGGGCAGAGCAAGAACAACCUGGGGAGGCGCCUGCCUGUCAGCUGUCCCCCUUGCCCCACUGGGUGUGCAUGAAAAGCUGAGAAAGCUCAGAAAAGCACAGAGUCUCUUCAAAUUGAAAAAAGCACUUAUAAGGCUUUUGGGGCACCCUGAAUCAACCUCCUUGUUCCUGUGCUACCCGACUCCCUGUGCCUGUAGUGACCCAUCACUCACCUUCCUGGAGAUGGGAACAGGGUAAGUCCUGCAGACCAUGAAGUGUGGGCCAGUUACCCAGAUGGACAGACAGAAUCAUCUGUAAGUUGGGAGAGGCAGGAAGAACCCUCACUCCAUUUUGCGGUGUUCCAGGAAUAGUUCUGUUGAGGGAUGAGGAAGCAGAGAGGAUGGGUCAUCUGGAGCUGAGGGUCCCUGCUGGGGGUGGGGGCGGAGAGCUCCUGAAGCCCAUCUGUAGGAGCAGAUGUUGAGGUAGGGCCUAAAGCCUGUAGGACAGCAGCCUGGAAGUAGGAGGAUCAGGACCCAAACUCCUGACUUUCGUACUACAACCUAUGGCAAGGGGAGGAGGAUGCAGACUUGUUCUGAAAAGCCCUGGAAGGUGCUUUGGGACCCAACUGUGAGAGCGGAAGAUGCUGUGCGUAGCAUAUCCCAUUCAACCUGGGGAAACUAACCACUCAAAGAGCCAAGCAGACUUGGCUGCAGUUAGCUCUCCACUAGGUGAAGGGAGGGGGUAGGCAGAGGCUGGUCAGCGUUGGUCAAGGUCGCCUAGAAGGAUCCUUACUUUGUGUGGAAGAGGGACCAGGAUUCUUCCCAGAUUCUUCCAGAAUCUGAUAGUCAAUGUCUAAUAUUCAAAGUAGGUGAUAUAAAAACUUGGAAGCCUGGUUCUAAAAUUCUGUUACUUUCAGGUGCUGAAAUGCUACAAUUUCAUGAUUCUGAGAUUUAAACAUAUUGUGAUUCUUAGGUUCUGGAACAGCUCUGUCCCUUAAAAGUGUAAU